GCCCGGCUAGCUCAAUCGGUAGAGCGUGAGACUCUUAUUCAGUUCUCCAUCUCAAGGUUGUGGGUUCGACCCCCACGUCGGGCU